GAAUGCUGACAUAAGUAACGAUAAAGCGGGUGAAAAGCCCGCUCGCCGGAAGACCAAGGGUUCCUGUCCAACGUUAAUCGGGGCAGGGUGAGUCGACCCCUAAGGCGAGGCCGAAAGGCGUAGUCGAUGGGAAACGGGUUAAUAUUCCCGUACUUGGUGUUACUGCGAAGGGGGGACGGAGAAGGCUAUGUUGGCCGGGCGACGGUUGUCCCGGUUUAAGCGUGUAGGUGUGUGUUCCAGGUAAAUCCGGUUCACUUUAACACUGAGGCGUGACGACGAGGCACUACGGUGCUGAAGCAACAAAUGCCCUGCUUCCAGGAAAAGCCUCUAAGCAUCAGGUAACAUCAAAUCGUACCCCAAACCGACACAGGUGGUCAGGUAGAGAAUACCAAGGCGCUUGAGAGAACUCGGGUGAAGGAACUAGGCAAAAUGGUGCCGUAACUUCGGGAGAAGGCACGCUGACACGUAGGUGAAGUGAUUUACUCAUGGAGCUGAAGUCAGUCGAAGAUACCAGCUGGCUGCAACUGUUUAUUAAAAACACAGCACUGUGCAAACACGAAAGUGGACGUAUACGGUGUGACGCCUGCCCGGUGCCGGAAGGUUAAUUGAUGGGGUCAGCGCAAGCGAAGCUCCUGAUCGAAGCCCCGGUAAACGGCGGCCGUAACUAUAACGGUCCUAAGGUAGCGAAAUUCCUUGUCGGGUAAGUUCCGACCUGCACGAAUGGCGUAAUGAUGGCCAGGCUGUCUCCACCCGAGACUCAGUGAAAUUGAACUCGCUGUGAAGAUGCAGUGUACCCGCGGCAAGACGGAAAGACCCCGUGAACCUUUACUAUAGCUUGACACUGAACAUUGAGCCUUGAUGUGUAGGAUAGGUGGGAGGCUUUGAAGUGUGGACGCCAGUCUGCAUGGAGCCGACCUUGAAAUACCACCCUUUAAUGUUUGAUGUUCUAACGUGGACCCGUUACCCGGGUUGCGGACAGUGUCUGGUGGGUAGUUUGACUGGGGCGGUCUCCUCCUAAAGAGUAACGGAGGAGCACGAAGGUUGGCUAAUCCUGGUCGGACAUCAGGAGGUUAGUGCAAUGGCAUAAGCCAGCUUGACUGCGAGCGUGACGGCGCGAGCAGGUGCGAAAGCAGGUCAUAGUGAUCCGGUGGUUCUGAAUGGAAGGGCCAUCGCUCAACGGAUAAAAGGUACUCCGGGGAUAACAGGCUGAUACCGCCCAAGAGUUCAUAUCGACGGCGGUGUUUGGCACCUCGAUGUCGGCUCAUCACAUCCUGGGGCUGAAGUAGGUCCCAAGGGUAUGGCUGUUCGCCAUUUAAAGUGGUACGCGAGCUGGGUUUAGAACGUCGUGAGACAGUUCGGUCCCUAUCUGCCGUGGGCGCUGGAGAACUGAGGGGGGCUGCUCCUAGUACGAGAGGACCGGAGUGGACGCAUCACUGGUGUUCGGGUUGUCAUGCCAAUGGCACUGCCCGGUAGCUAAAUGCGGAAGAGAUAAGUGCUGAAAGCAUCUAAGCACGAAACUUGCCCCGAGAUGAGU
rnacentral:rRNA from 1 species